CGUAUUGAUCUUGUUUUUGAAUGUUCAUGUGAAUUGAUUUAUCGUAUAUGGUGGGCUUGGUACAUUUAAAAAAAUAUUGGUCUCAAGCCCGUACACUCCGGAAUAUGUUCUUAUUGCGGUUAUGGGCAGUAUGGGGCUUGGAACUAUCCAUUUGGUUGAAGAUCAUUCGAAUUUUUCACUGCAUUUGGUAUCAUUAGUGAGGGACUUCUUAAUGUGGCCUAACUGCCCCAUGUCCCUCUAAAUUCUUUUUCACGAGCCGCAUAUGAAUGGACUAUGAAAGAAUAGCUCUGUUCCUGUACUUGCUUCUUUGCUUUGGCAGUAAGUUGUAAGAAAAUAUAUGGUAACGGAUGUUCAAUAAAAAAUGAGAAUGAUUUCAAUACCGUCCACGGCUCUUGUGAGAGCAUCGCGACUAAGUUGCGUCGUACGGCUGACCAGGGCCCCUUCUCCAAUAUUGAUUGACUUUUUUUGGAGAAUAAACAUUAUGUUUUUAAUAAAAAAUACUGAAUUCGGUUAAAAAAAAAAUUUUUUUUACUAGCUAUAUGACUGAAAAAAUUCUCAUUUUUUAUUGAACACCCGUUACAUAAAGUACGGGAACAUGCUUUUGCUCCAUGCUGUACAGGAUCUUACAAGAAAAGCAAGUACGGGAACAGACAUAAUAGCUCAUAAUCAAAAAAAGAAAAGCUCCUAAGUCGCAAGCACAUAAUUCAAAGCCUAUCCAUGUAAGCCAUCGGAUAGAAGAACUUUUCCCCCUGGGUGAGUUUUCAUUCUCGGAAAAUUUGCGGAAGAAGCCAUUGUUUAUGUUUACGACUGCGGUACUUAUGAACACUAUUGGGAGAAAAAAUCAUUUAUUGGGAAUUUAACCUUCUUUUGAACAUGAGCUAUUCUUACAAACUAUUUGCUAUUUUUCAAUGAUUCAUAACAAGAUCAUGAAAAAAAGAACUAUUUGUCAAAAGCUGCAUUUGAAUAAAAUAUAAAUGAACACCUCGUCAUCAAAAGAAGGGAAUAUAAUCAUUUAUCGUCAAUCAUUCACAUUUGAGCUAAAAUUCGGCCAUUUUGAGUCUAGCAAAAAAAAAUCAAAAUGGCGUAUUCGAUAUUUUUGAGCCGUAUUUUGGUUUUUAGAGAACAGAUCUUGAAAAGGAGUAAUAAAAUAUUCGAAAAAAAAACGUAAUACAGUCAACUCUCCCUUAUUAGAUAUUCUAUAACUAGAUAUUGUCCCAAACUCGAUCAUUUUCAAGGUCCAUUGCAUUUUGUAAGCAUCGUUCUUUCCCUAACUCGAUGUGUUUCGAAUACUUUGUUGUCCAUUUAUUUUCACCUCCGUUCAUAUAGAGGGGUUUAAUAUUAUUCACCGAUAAUUAUAAAUAAAUUCGUAGCUGUAAAAUUGAUCUUAAUUAUUCAAAAUUAAGGUAAUUGUGCUCCAUAAAAAAUAUAAAAUUGGUUGUGCAUUUUUAGUUAAAGAUACCUGAAAACUUUACGCAACUACGAAUUUCUUAUUAAAACCACAUUUGAUUUGAGUAUUGAAAUAUUGGUUAAUAUAUGUAAUAUGCGGGAAUUUCUGGUUUCUUGAUGUUGUCAAUAGCUACUUGCAUAUCGAGUAAGAGAGAGUUGAUUGUAUUCCAUUCUUUAUUAAAUUUCCAUGGAAGAGAUUGUAUAUGCCGUAAAGAAGAAAUUUGGCCUUCUUCAUUAAAUACUUCAUUAAAAGAUAAUAUAUGUGUCACUUAGAUUUUAUUUUAAUAAAUAAGGGUUUAUUGCUUUUUCGAACAUUAAUCUAUUUUUAUCAAUAUUUGUUCUUCAAAACUUUGAAAGAAACGUCCAUUUUUCAAAUGAAGAAUCAUUGAUCAUGAGCUGUUCUUGCAUAUUCCAUUCACAUACUGCUCUCGAAAAAAAUAACAAUUUAUCUUUUACUAUGGUUAAACGACUUUUCAGUAAAGUUAGCUUUGUUUAUGAAAAAAUGCCGAUCAUGUGUGUAACUAUAUCGGUAUAAAAUGCACUGAUAUAACCUCACUUUCCUAAACUCCCUUAUAGUAAGUCGUUUCGCGAUUUUCUCACACGUUUUUAAAAACCGACUUACAUUACACCAAGUGAUGAGCAAGCAGCUGAUAUAGCAAUACUGGAUUUAAUGUUCAUGCUAUUAUUUGUAAGUACCCCGUGGUUUAUGGAAGCACCCUUAGCUGUAUCUCAAUCAUACUGCAUUGUUCAAUUAUGAAAGCUACUCCAAAAUUGCAAUGCAAUAUAAGCCAUAAAUAUUGGCCUUUCUCAGCCAUCUUAAAAAACUAUCACAAUAAUGCAGAUUUAAAAUUUUGCAUGGCGUAGUAUGAACAAGUUUCUAAAAGUAGCUUCUAAAAGAAGUUUCUUCUAGACGCUUGUCCGUCCGCUCCUGUAAAUAAAUUUGAGCAGCUAUAUGUAUUGCAAUAAUUGAGCGUUUUCGUGGUGCAUUUUAUUGAAAAAAAAUUCAUUUGCGUCUUUAAAAAAGAAAGAAUUAUUUAAAAUUCAACAACAUUUGAAAUGGAUUGUUAAAAUUGGAUAGGGCCAUGCAUUAAUUAUGUCACGUUAAAUUGAGGAAAAGUUCUCGUCCUUUCCGUCACGUAUUUCCUACCUAAUGCAUUGCUUGUAACAAAAUCUUAAAAGAGAGCGUAACAUAAUAUAUGCAUCACCCCUAAUGGUUGAUUUUUGGGACAACGCCGAUCAUGGUAGUUGUAUACUGGGUAAUGUCAUAGAGUCCAUUGCAAAAUUUUCAAACAUAUUAUAUCAACAAUAUGAUCUACUCUUUCGCAUAACUGGCGAACCGACUGCCCAAAAAGGUUACAAAUGUAUUUGAUAAUCUUCACGCAGGGUAAACCGAUUUAUAAUUUGUAUAAUAUUUAUAAUGUAUGUAUUUCAGCAUGUUAUUUAAUUUGAUGACAGCCGACAUACAUGCAUGUAAUAUACAAAAUGUAAUAAAUGGAAAUAAUUUGACUUUUAUUUUUGUAAUAAGUGCUAUAUUCGCGCCCCUCGCUUGUUAUUGGAUGAUUGUUGCUAACCUUUUUCAACGCUAGAUGGUGCAUCAUAUUGUUAAUACAAUAUAUUUGAUAAUCUCGUUGGCAUUGAAAAAUCAGAUGCAAGUUGCUUCAAGUCUGGGUCUUAGCCAUACGCCAAAAAAGUAGGUAUGCUAGAUAGAUAGAUAGAAGUUUAAAGAAGAAAUGAUAACAAGAAAACAAUGUUUGAAGAUUGCAAUUUGAUCAUGAUCAAAUUAAAAUGACGUUAACUUGCCUUCAUCUAAAUCCCACGUGUAGCUUCAAUAAGAAAACCUCCACAUAAGCGAUAAAUAACGACGAUUCUUCCGGACCGAGCAGCCAGCCUGUAUCUCCGUAAAAUAAAGACAUCUAGUACACAAACCAUGCAACGGAUAUCGUAAACAAAGAAACAGAUAAAACUCACAUAUUCACUCUACAAUCAAUUUGCGUAAUGGAAUUUAUCACUUCAAUUUUCGGCACAUUGGCAAUAUUCUCGUCUCUCGUCGUGACUAUCACUCGACCCACCCAUGCUUUAAAUGGUACAUCAUAUUAAUAACAGAAAGAAAACUCACAUUCCUCGCUUCUCUCGGUUGCUGUCUGUGUGUAUUCCAAAAUCACGCGCUUAAAACAGAAUCAUAAAUAUACAGAUUUACAAACAUUCGAAUUUACACACCGCCAAUUCGAUUCCGUGUUGCUUCCAGAGACUUCCCCGGCCCUCUCUAUAACUAAAAACGAUAUAUCACUCCAAGUUGUUUUGUUCUGAUGAAAUCAUGUCUACCGCGAUUUUCCAGUUGACGCGAUGGAAAUAUACGUUUACAUUUCCAUUUACUACACACUAGCCGGAAAAAAGCACGGUUAAAUAUUCUACACCUCUUAGAGACAAAGAGCACAUCACCACAGUGUAAAUCACAAUGCACAACCGCAUAUUCGACUGCUCUGCUCUACCGGUAUUGUUGUAGAUAGGUUACCUAUAUGUGUUUGUAUAUGCUUAGGAUUUUGGCUGCAGCAUGAUGCCGCCGCUGGCAUUACUGUUGUCCUACGAGAAUACUCAUAAGAAUGGAUUGUUCGAUUUGGACGUUGCGGUUGUAGCACCUGCGGCC